CAUGACCUGAGCUGAAGUCGGACACUUAACUGAGCCACCCAGGUGCCCCUCAAUUAAUUUCCUCUAAAAAAAACUUUUGGAGGCAGCCCCUGGAGUCUAGUUUUCUGAACGGUACCCAUCAGGUGGAGGUGUACUGAAUUGCUUUUUUGCAAAUGCUCUCCAGAACUAACGCUCAGUACUAACGCUAUUUUUGAGCUUUGCAUGGAUUUCGUUAUUUGAAUAUUGCUAUAACGCUGUGAGGUAGGUGCUAUUUCUUCCUUCUGUUUUACAGAUGAGGAAGCUGAAGUCCAAAGGGGUUAAGUAACCUGAUCAAGCAAAAAUGUGUAGGAAGGCAGAGAUUAGGAUUAGAAGUCAGGCAUCUGACUACAGAGCCCUACUGCAUUCUGUUUGCUUCUUAUGUAUGUCCCAUUGAAUUGUAACUGAUCUUUUCUGCCUCCUCACUGGUCUGUAUACUCCCUGAGGGGAGGGCCCUGGUAUUAUCCAUAUCUAUACCCACAGAUGUGCCUCCUUCUCUCACACCCCAUCCUGUUAUUCUCCCCAUUGGCUGACUUGGUUCCGUGAAGGAAGGCUGUGUUGGCAACGUCAGCUGACCUCACACUGGUGGCUCCAAGUCAGAACCCAAACAUUCUGUAGAGAGCAGAGUUUCUUAGUUUCUCAGAGAAAUAUAGGGCAGAAACUGCACUAUGGCUAAAUAUUUCCUUUUCUCCAUGUGAUAAAAGACUAACAGUUUUGGAGUGAUGGACAAGGUUCAGAGUUCUUUCGCCUUUCUAGUUUUGUUUUUAAUGGAAUGCCCACCUUUAUGCUUGCCUUAUGAAGGUGAGUUCAAACCAGUUGAACUAGCAACAGGCUUAAUGGGUAGCUUCAACCAUUGUUUUUACUUGUUUCAGGGGAAGUAAAAAGGGUUAAUCAUAUUUCACUGCUACGAGUUUUCUUUUCAAGGCUACAAUCAGUCACAAACAUCCACAAAUAUCACUAAGCAGGAAAGUGUUUCCUCAAGACUCAGAGGUAAGUAAUUGUAUUACUCAUUUGGUGAAAUGAGAACCAUAGACUGGGGUCCUCUCAUCUGCUGUAUGAAUGUGUCUUUUCUUGUGUAUUUGUUAGGAGCAUGGUCCAUACAAGAAUAUAAUUAGAUAAGCAUUGCUUGGAAAUUAAUCCAAUAUUAUUCUGUCUCUGGAAACUUGGAAAUUAAUCCGAUAUUAUUCUGUCUCUGGAAGCUGUGAUUUCUCUUUAGGGACUGCUUUGCUUCUCUUUUAUUUCACUUGGCACACACAGAAACCUUGACCAAAUCAGAGUGGUUUGAAUGUGUCUGUAUGACUUUAAUUGUAAUUGGGUACACGUUUGUCGGUAGACCAUACGAGUCCAGAUACAGAUGUUUUGUGAGUGUAAAAUAUUCUUUAUAAUCAUCUGUCUUCUAUGCUUUGCAUUUUGAGUCCUCAAGGGAACUUUGUUUAUCUCAAAACAGAGAAACUGACCCUGCCAAUCUGUGAAAUCAGGCAGCAACUCUUUGUGAAGAUAUGUGGUACUUAUAAACAAUCUCUAUUCUGUACAAGGGAAAUGCCAUCUGUACAGUAUAAAAGCAUCUAAUUUCUGUAGGAGGAAAGGGUAUUGCCGUGGCUCUCUGGCACUGGCUCUCUGACUUUCUGAUGACCGCCCAGACCCCUUCAACUCUGUGCUAAGUCUAUCAGGUCCUCAACCAGCUCACGUGACUGCAAAAACAGACCAGAAGCCAAAUGCAUUAUGUUCUUAACACCCCAUAUUCGUGGAUGCAAACAGAACACCAUGCUUUUCCAAAUUAAGCCACGUAUUUCUAUAAGGCAUUGUAAUAAAUGUAUUAACGACAUUUACCAUCUUAGCUUUUAGGUCCCCUUGUCUAAUACAAGUUAUUUCUUUAUUUUCCUAAAUCUAUCUUGAACUUGUCUCUUCUCUCUGACCCUUUGAACGACUUUGAGCUCUGAAACCUCCUAUGCCCACGCAAUUACCAGGCAAUAAUGGUAUGAUAAGACAUACAGACAUGGAAAUGAUUGUCAUGGAGGAAGAACAUUAUACUCACACACUCCUAGAAGCAAGAGGUGGGGGAGACAAGAGGGGAGAGCUUGGCCCAGAGUCUUUAUUGGUGUUUUCAUGGGAAGGAGUGGGUGAGGUAAUGGGAAGGGUGAUACACAUAACCCUAUAAAGACUAACGGGAGUCUAACAACCUAUGCAGCACCCCUGAACGCUGAUACCUGGAAUGCAGGUUGUCGGUGUGGAGUGGAGGAUAAGGCCAUAUGUUUUGAGCAGUGCAUUUCUGCGAGAGUAUUGUCACAGGACGGGACUUCCAAAGCAGAGUACAUGCAAACAUGGGAUGGACAGAGAGAGAGGCAGUGAGAAAAUCCUAA